AAAUGUCGCAUGGUGUCGCAGAGUUGAUCCGAUGCAACACAACAGUGGGAUGCAGACGAUGCGUCUGCAUCCAACAGUCGUGUCGCGUCGGAUCAACGCAGCAACACCAUGCGACAAUGCAUUCAGUUAUCCUAUUUUCGCAUGCAAUCUGACGCAGGCGUUUUGUUGCAGCGUGUCGUAUCGCGCAGAAAUCGGCUGUUUAGUCCUACCCUAAUAUGCCAUCCCAUGACAAUCUGCAUAGAUAAUCUACUGGAAACCUGUGGCCAAAGUAAAAAAAAAAAAAUCAAGAAAAGCAAAAUAACUUUGCCUAAAACAUUACUUUCUGCUUAUUCUUUCAGACUACUCUUGUUUCUAGAGAAUACACUGAACUUCACAAUACACACUGCCUAGAGUUUGGCUACAAAGGCUCAGACUCUAUGGAGCAGUCUCAGAUGUACAGUAAUUGGGGAAGAAAGAAGAUGCUCUCAGACGGUUCGAUUCGGUGUACCCAAAGUACUUCCAAAAUUGUAUUUGUGCGGAGUACAAAAAUUAAACGUUUCAGGGGCGUCACUUCCCCUUCGUCAGUGGUAAAGUCAGAUAUACAGUAAGACACUGACCAGGAAUACACAUAGAUGCACCGAUGAUAUUGUAUGAAACUAGUUUUUGUAUGAUAUUUGGUUUGUGUAUGGUGGGAGGCGAGCCAUCCGAUAUUACUUUUUCCCUCUGCACUGUGUGACCAUCAUUCCUUUUAGGAGAAUUCAGCCCUCAACUUAAAAAAAAACCCCUACCUACGUUUCCUUCCAUUUCGGCACAUGCGGAGUUGUUGCAAACUGGUAAACUGCGCAUGUGCCUCUUCGCCGGUCUCAGUCUCAGAUUACCGAAGACCGGAAAGAUGGCUGCCGUGAACUGCGAUCCCUGAAUCUGCAUGAGGGGUAGGUAAAAAGUUACAGUACAAAAAUGUAAAAAUUAUGGCUGAUCCCAAUGUUAUUACUAAGGAAAAAAAGAUAAAUAUAUUGGAAGGCCGGUAUUUUUUUUCAGAAAAGGUGGCAACCCUAUGCAUGUAUGACAGCCAAAACAUUACUCUGCUUCAUGCAGUUCCCACGCACCUCCUGCUUACUACUUCCUGCUUACUACUUCCUGCCUACUACUUCCUGCUCUGUGUGCACUGCGCUGACUCCUAUCAGCAAGUAAGUGGAGUAGAACAGCUGUUUGAGUAGUGAGGUUAUUGGGGAGGGACUGAAAAACUGUGUGUCAGUAACAUCAAAUCACCUCACUCAGCACGUGCCGCCACGCCGGUCUCGUUGACAGAUUACCAAAGACCUGGAAGAUGGCUGCCAUGAACUCCGAUCCCUGAAUUUGCACCGAGGGAUGCCCCAGUAGCUCCCCCACCACCAGCGCCAAUGCGCACACAAAUUGCGGAAGUGCGCGCACACUAAGGGACCAGCAGUGAAGAUGAAGAGGGGCGGUGUGACGGGCGUCCCCGCCGCACCACUAGACCACCAGGGCAGUAAAUUAUUACAUUUCCCCCCCUCCCCGAGGGUGGAAUUGUUUCAUGAGACGAUCAGCCCUUAUAUCACAAACAGGAACUCAAGAAUUCUCCUCAGCGCCGUAACCCUUCCAUUGCACUAGAUACUGUAACUUACCCCGCACAAGGUGAAAGUCAAAGAGAACUUGGACUACAAAUUCAGGCUGACCCUCUACCAACACUGGGGGAGGAAAUGAUUGUGGACCUGUGAGGCUGAUUUAAAAAAAAAAACAUGAAAGGAGUUAGAUAUUUUAAUUGUCAGGUAAUUUGAGAUGCACAGAAGAAGGAUUGGUUAUUUUAGUAAUGGGAUAUGGACCAAUAAACCUUAAGUUUGAUAUUUUUUGUAUAACCCAACGGAGUCUCCUACCUGAUAUUUGGGUACUUCCCUAUGAGACCUAUCAGCUGCCCUUUUUUGAGCGGCCGUAGCUGCAGAAAGAGAAUCGUGCAUCCCGGACCAGAUCUUGGCAAAUUGUUUGACAGAAGAAUUGACAGAUGGUACAGAGGAUAAUGAACCAGAAAAAGAAAAUGCUUUGGGAUGUAAACCAUUAACAAUAAAAAAUGGUGAUUGACCAGUA